UUGUAAACCGCUGUCAAUGGAGGGGAAACAUGUGGUGUUAACAGCGCCACAUUUGACUGCUCCGUAAAGGAAGCCCCGGCAAAACAUGUGC
rnacentral:rRNA from 1 species